AAGAGUAAAUAUAAUAUUCAAAAAAAAAGAAAAAUAAAUGUGUAUCGUAAGAAAAAUAUGCCGUCAUCACAGUUCGCUAUUUUUUCCAUCAUCUUGAUUGCUUUAUUUUCUCUUCACGAAUUUGUCGAUGGCCAAGGUAUUAAAGCGGGCAAUUCAGCUAGAAACGAUUGCAUUGCAGGGGAAUAAUAUGCCCAACCGCCCAAAAACAUUUACGCAGAUGUAUUUGUUGUUUUGUCCCCGACGCUAUUACUGAGCCCAAGUGUUACCCGAAGGAAGAAGACUGUAAGCGUAACUGCAACCUAUUAUAAGUUAUCUCGAGGACGUACAUCAAUGAUUUAAAAAAAAAAUAAGGAUAACGUUUUUAUUUAAUACCUCCUAAUAUCUGCCUUCGUUUUAUAUGAAUAAUACAAGCUUAUUAGGAGCCCAACAAAUAUAAUUAUGCCUAUUGUACGUAAUGCACACUAGUUAAACCUAUUUUCUCCCUUUUC